rnacentral:lncRNA from 1 species
UGCAAUACGCAAAAAUAAAUAAAUAAAUAAAAUAUAAAUAUAAAUAAAAUAAAAAUAAAAAUAAAAAUCCCUUCACUACAAACUUUGUAAAAACUUCUUGUUUUUAAAAAUCGCCUGGGACUUAGGGGCGUUUGGAUUGACGUAUUUGUAGAUUCAACAUAAGUUAAGUAUAGUGGUGUUUGAGUUUUCCUGAAGUGUGAUUAUUAUUUUUUUUUUUUUUUGAUGUAACUCGUACCGUCUGAAAGUUAAAUUCAAUCACUUCUGUUGUUUGUUUUGAUGUAACUUGGUGCUGGUAAAAUUAGUUUUUUGAGUUCCGUUGUUUGUUUUGAUGUAAGUAAGUGGAUCUCAUUAUCUCCUAAAUAUAGUAGUAAAUUUACCACUAUAAAAUUUAAUUUAUUAUAUAAUUAAUUUUUUUAUUAUUAUUUAAAAAUAAUAAUAAUUUAUUAUAAAUAAGGUAAUUCUAACCCAUUAUAAAGUAAGUAGAGUUUAGGUUUUACUGUUUAAUAAUUUUUUUAGAGGAGGUUGAGUGUAGUGAAAGUCGAGUUCGGCACUUUAGAGGAGGAAGUCGAGAGUAAGUGAAGUGGAGCUCUAACGUAACUUGAGUUACAUUAUAUUUUUCACUUACUUUAAAACAAAUAACGGAAGUGAUGGAACUUGAGUUCCAUCACUCCACUUACACCAAAACAAACGGGCCCUAACUGGUGGAAUUGGUCUGACUAUUACUCAAUUUCUUAACCAAUUCGAUUUGACCCAUAAAAAGAUUUUAAAAAUCAUAUUAACAGUUUGAACAAGCGGUUCAACUGGUAAACUAGUCAAUCGAUCCGAUUUUAAUUCAACCAGUCCGAAGGGUCACUUAUCAUAGAUCAUCGAUCGGACGAUUCAAUCAGCUCGAU